rnacentral:rRNA from 1 species
CUGCAUUUGAAAACUGUGGUUCUUGAGAGCCCGGAGGGGUAAAUGGAAUUCCCAGUGUAGCGGUGAAAUGCGUAGAUAUUGGGGAGGAACACCAGUGGCGAAGGCGAUUUACUGGACGGCAACUGACGCUGAGACACGAAAGUGUGGGGAGCAAACAGGAUUAGAUACCCUGGUAGUCCACACUGUAAACGAUGAAUGCUAGGUGUGGGGAAGCAAUUCUCCGUGCCGGAGUUAACACAAUAAGCAUUCCGCCUGGGGAGUACGGCCGCAAGGUUGAAACUCAAAGGAAUUGACGGGAGCCCGCACAAGCAGUGGAGUAUGUGGUUUAAUUCGACGCAACGCGAAGAACCUUACCAGGACUUGACAUCCCAGGAAUCCGGCGUAAUGGCUGGAGUGUCCCUUCGGGGAAAUCUGGUGACAGGUGGUGCAUGGUUGUCGUCAGCUCGUGUCGUGAGAUGUUGGGUUAAGUCCCGCAACGAGCGCAACCCUUACGGUUAGUUGCUACGCAAGAGCACUCUAGCCGGACUGCCGUUGACAAAACGGAGGAAGGUGGGGACGACGUCAAAUCAUCAUGCCCCUUACGUUCUGGGCUACACACGUACUACAAUGGCGCAAACAAAGGGAAGCAAUAUCGCGAGAUGGAGCAAAUCCCAUAAAAGGCGUCCCAGUUCGGACUGCAGGCUGCAACUCGCCUGCACGAAGUUGGAAUUGCUAGUAAUCGCGGAUCAGCAUGCCGCGGUGAA